AUACAUAAAUAAAAACCUAAAAAAAAAUUUAAUCCAUCUGGGACUUUUCAUUAUCUAGAAUAUAUUCCAUCUAUUAAGCUAAGUUGAAAUUGUGGCAAGACAGUUCUUCUCUUCGCAUAAAAAUACUGAACAACAAGAUCCUUAAUUUGCCUUUAGAAGCAAAUGAAUCAUAUUAAAGAGGCAUGACUAACUGCCUGCUGUACUAAGAAUGUGAUGAAAUCCCUUCAAUCCAUGAUGGUAAACAUAAAUAGUGUAUGUCUUAAUAGUAUAAAAUCUGCCCAAAGUAGAUGUUUGUCAUUUUUUUAAUUUCACAUCCUCACAGAAACCAAGCUCAAGGUACUGACUCAUUUCCUUUCCAUCUAAACAUGUCAUAAGGAGAUCUACGGUAAUGUAAAACUGUUCUAAACUAAUGCUAUCCAAAAACAGAGAAGCAUAAUGUUCAUAUUCAACAGCUCCUUUGCUAUUCCAUUAAGCAUAUUCUUCUAGCUACUAGAACCUAAUAAAUUGAAUUGAGGUCUUUGUCAUAUAUAUGAAAAUCAUUAUCAUCUUAUAUACAGAACUAACAGAGAGUGUUAGAUAAGAAAUUUACAUAUGGCUUUGAAACCUUGAUACACAAACACUAGUACAGUUGACUGGUUGGCUUUCAUCUCUUAUUGAGUUCUGGUGGGUAAACCUUCAUCUGUCUUAGCUAACUCUAAUGUUCUACUUACAAAUAUAAAUUUCUUCUCAACCCCUACAAGGGAUGGGGGGACCACCACCAGCUAGCACAACCCAGAGAUCCUGCAGGUAACUUGAGUAUUACUAAUCUCAUUAUGGUAUAACUGGGCUCUUAAGCAAACAUACUAAAUUUUCCUUUAAUUUCAGCCAGUGAUGCUAAAGAUUUAUUAAUGAGAGUUCUAAUGCUAGACUUGUGGGAUUUUAAAAUGGGAAAAAGGAGCUGGGAAUAUGGCCUAGUGGUAAAGUGCUGGCCUCGUAUACAUGAAACCCUGGGUACGAUUCCUCAGCACCACGUAUGUAGAAAAGGCAGAAGUGGUGCUGUGGCUCAAGAGGUAGAGUGCUACCCUCGAGUAAAAAGAAGCCAGGGACAGUGCUCAGGCCCUGAAUUCAAGCCCCAGGACUGGCCAAAUAAAUAAAUAAAUAAAUAAGGAAAAAAUUUCAAUGUAUCAUUUACUGGUGGCUUAUUGAUGUGUUUCUUGAAAAGUAUACUUAAGAUUUUUUGCAUUUCCAAAAGAAAAAGUUAUUGAAAUGCUGUAUAAAAACAAUCCUUGAUCUCAUAUUAUUCUACUGAUUUUAAAAGGCUCUAAAACCUCAUUUAUAGUAGUCCCACCUUACCCAGUUUUGUUUUCUGAGGUUUUAGUUACCCAAGGUCAACAAGAACCUUGUGAAUAUAUUCGGGCUGGGAAUAUGGCCUAGUGGCAAGAGUGCUUGCCUCCUAUACA